rnacentral:rRNA from 1 species
GACGAACACUGGCGGCGUGCUUAACACAUGCAAGUCGAACGAGACCUUCGGGUCUAGUGGCGCACGGGUGCGUAACGCGUGGGAAUCUGCCCUUGGGUCUGGAAUAACAGUUAGAAAUGACUGCUAAUACCGGAUGAUGACUUCGGUCCAAAGAUUUAUCGCCCAAGGAUGAGCCCGCGUCGGAUUAGCUAGUUGGUGGGGUAAAAGCUCACCAAGGCGACGAUCCGUAGCUGGUCUGAGAGGAUGAUCAGCCACACUGGGACUGAGACACGGCCCAGACUCCUACGGGAGGCAGCAGUGGGGAAUAUUGGACAAUGGGCGAAAGCCUGAUCCAGCAAUACCGCGUGAGUGAUGAAGGCCUUAGGGUUGUAAAGCUCUUUUACCCGGGAUGAUAAUGACAGUACCGGGAGAAUAAGCCCCGGCUAACUCCGUGCCAGCCGCCGCGGUAACAC